rnacentral:rRNA from 1 species
CUUCAGCGCAGUAAUGCUCGCCGCUGUUAGGGAAGGGUAGCAAGGGCCGUCAUACAACCCCCACACACAAGGUUGACCUCGGAUCAGGUAGGGAUACCCGCUGAACUUAAGCAUAUCAAUAAGCGGAGGAAAAGAAACCAACAGGGAUUGCCUCAGUAACGGCGAGUGAAGCGGCAACAGCUCAAAUUUGAAAGCUGGCUCCUUCGGGGCCCGCGUUGUAAUUUGUAGAGGAUGCUUCGGGCGCGGCACCGGUCUAAGUUCUCUGGAACGAGACGUCAUAGAGGGUGAGAAUCCCGUAUGYGACUGGCUGCCUGUGCCCAUGUGAAGCUCCUUCGACGAGUCGAGUUGUUUGGGAAUGCAGCUCAAAAUGGGAGGUGUACUCCUUCUAAAGCUAAACAUUGGCCAGAGACCGAUAGCGCACAAGUAGAGUGAUCGAAAGAUGAAAAGCACUUUGGAAAGAGAGUUAAACAGUACGUGAAAUUGUUGAAAGGGAAGCGCUUGCAAUCAGACUUGCGCGGCGUCGAUCAGCCUGGGUUCUCCCUGGUGCACUCGGCGCCGCUCAGGCCAGCAUCAGUUUCGGCGGUGGGAUAAAGGCCUAGGGAACGUGGGUCCCCUCGGGG